CCUGAUGCAUCUGAUGGUAAAGAAUCUGCCUACAAUGCUGGAGACCUGGGUUCGAUCCCUGGGUCAGGG
rfam:TPA: Bos taurus chromosome 12, whole genome shotgun sequence.